UACGUAGGGGGCAAGCGUUGUCCGGAAUCAUUGGGCGUAAAGAGCGUGUAGGCGGUUUGUCGCGUCUGCUGUGAAAUUUCGGGGCUCAACCCCGAACUUGCAGUGGGUACGGGCAGACUAGAGUGUGGUAGGGGAGACUGGAAUUCCUGGUGUAGCGGUGAAAUGCGCAGAUAUCAGGAGGAACACCGAUGGCGAAGGCAGGUCUCUGGGCCAUAACUGACGCUGAGAAGCGAAAGCAUGGGGAGCGAACAGG
rnacentral:rRNA from 1 species